UUGUUGUGUUGAAGGCGGGCUCACAGUGAGCAGCAGAGAGGAGCGGCUCGGUGCGGAGUGACACGGCGUUAUCUUUUACAUGAUUAAAACACUAAACAAAGAGGAAUACUCACUCGGAUCCACAGAAACACCUCUGAAACAUCCAGUCCGUCAUGGAGUCUUAUGACAUUUUAGCUAACCAGCCGGUGGUGAUCGAUAAUGGCUCGGGGGUUAUCAAGGCUGGCUUUGCAGGAGACCAGAUCCCCAAAUACUGCUUCCCUAACUAUGUGGGGCGUCCCAAGCAUGUGCGUGUGAUGGCAGGAGCCCUGGAGGGAGACCUCUUCAUCGGACCCAAGGCAGAGGUAACACACACACACACAUGUAAAGUUUGAGAUAAUCUCAUAGAAGAGUUCCUAUUGGAUCAAACUUUGAUGAUAUCGUUUCCUCUGGUUCGG